rnacentral:rRNA from 1 species
CAGUCGCCGCGGGAACACGUAGGGUGCAAGCGUUAUCCGGAAUUAUUGGGCGUAAAGAGCUCGUAGGCGGUUUGUCGCGUCUGCUGUGAAAACUGGAGGCUCAACCUCCAGCCUGCAGUGGGUACGGGCAGACUAGAGUGCGGUAGGGGAGAUUGGAAUUCCUGGUGUAGCGGUGGAAUGCGCAGAUAUCAGGAGGAACACCGAUGGCGAAGGCAGAUCUCUGGGCCGUAACUGACGCUGAGGAGCGAAAGCGUGGGGAGCAAACAGGAUUAGAUACCCGAGUAGUCCCUGUCUCUUAUAC